CAGUAGCCACGGGAAUACAGAGGGUGCGAGCGUUAAUCGGAUUUACUGGGCGUAAAGCGUGCGUAGGCGGCUAAUUGAGUCGGAUGUGAAAUCCCCGAGCUUAACUUAGGAAUUGCAUUCGAUACUGGGAAGCUAGAGUAUGGGAGAGGAUGGUAGAAUUCCAGGUGUAGCGGUGAAAUGCGUAGAGAUCUGGAGGAAUACCGAUGGCGAAGGCAGCCAUCUGGCCUAAUACUGACGCUGAGGUACGAAAGCAUGGGGAGCAAACAGGAUUAGAUACCCCCGUAGUCCCUGUCUCUUAUAC
rnacentral:rRNA from 1 species